CCACCUUCUUGUCUGUGUCUUGUUCUGUCUCUCGCUCUACUCACUGCGUAUGCGAUCUCUCUCGCUCUCCUCGCUUCAAUGUGAUCUCUUUCUCACUCUCCUCGUUGCAAUUUGUUACCUGAAGCUCUGUUUAUCCUUAAGCUUUUGUUGCAAUUGAAAAAGAAAUUGAACCUGUUGAUGAAAGCAUGAUUUGGUGGAAUAUGCAAAGUUGUUGCCUAUGCACUGCUGCUUAUUUCCUGUUAUCACUAUAAAGCCAAGGUGAAGUCUCAGUGCCCGUUACAGAGGUCCGGAGCCUGUAUGAGAUUUUAGGUAUUUACAAAUGAAUUCAAAGCUAUACAAGUAUUUACUUGAUUUGAUUUAGGCUACGUUUGAUCAAAUUAAGCUAUAAGCUAGCUGAAAUGAUAAUGGCUUUUGAGUGUAAUACUUGAAAUGAUUAUGUGUGUGGCUUGUAAUGAAAUUAUAAGCUGAAACGUUUUCUGCAAUAUCUGUUAUCCAGACACAUGUUCUUUAACAAAUAUACCACAUUUUUUUAACUGUUCAUUUAUACACCCAUUUUAUACAUUCAUUUCUAUUUAUUUUUUAUUUCUUUAAAACACUGCACACAUGUGAAUCUCUCUCUCUUCCCUGUUUCCUUGUUUCUGAAAAACGUAAACACACGCUCUCACCUUGUUGCUCCAUCUCGUCACCGCCGCUGCCUGCCACCAUCAUCGCUUCUGCCGCGUUCUGCUCUCUUUCUCUCUCUCUCGCUCUCCUCGUUGCAAUCUUUUUCUCACGCUCAAACACAUUGUUAACAUUACAAGGUGAACAAAGGAAUGCUCUUCUUUGAUGCAAUUUGAUCUGCUCAAAAUUCUUCUUUUAAUGGAAAUGGACACAAGAUGGAGCCAACCUGAUAUUUGGUUGCUUCUUGAGGUUACUUAGCAUGAAUGAUGAAUCCCAAGUUUGAGCACAUAUUGUGGAGCUAAGGUUAAGGCAUGUUUGGUUGAUCUGUUGCUAUGCUUGGAGCCUUUCAUCAGUUGUAUUUUUUGGCCUGCAUCUAUCCGCUAUUAAGGCAGCCGAUUACAAACAACAGUUGCUUGUCAAAAUAAAACAAUUGCCGCAAGCUAAACAUGGAAAUAUAGAUAUGGAUCCAACAGAUUUGAAUGAACGAAAUCCUUCUAUUGGUAAUACUACUCAUGGAAGUAAUGCAAAUGAUGGUGCACAUGUUGAUGAGUAUAUAUAUAAAUGAUUUUUGAAUGUAGAACUUAAAGAAUUAUUUAAAGUACGAUAUGUAGCCACCUUAAAGUUAUUAGAACCGUUAACAUUUUGGAUGUAUUGAUGACUUUGAUAUUAUGUAAUGUGAGAUACUUAUGUUUAUGAUGGAAAAAGUUGAUGUUUGCAAACAAA